UACGAAGGGUGCAAGCGUUACUCGGAAUUACUGGGCGUAAAGGGUGCGUAGGUGGUUUGUUAAGUCUGCUGUGAAAUCCCCGGGCUCAACCUGGGAACUGCGGUUGAAACUGGCGAACUAGAAUCUGGCAGAGGGGGGUGGAAUUCCACGUGUAGCAGUGAAAUGCGUAGAGAUGUGGAGGAACACCGAUGGCGAAGGCAGCCCCCUGGGCUAAGAUUGACGCUCAGGCACGAAAGCGUGGGGAGCAAACAGG
rnacentral:rRNA from 1 species